rnacentral:misc_RNA from 1 species
UGGUUCUGGCAUNGAUGAAGAACGCAGCGAAAUGCGAUAAGUAAUGUGAAUUGCAGAAUUCAGUGAAUCAUCGAAUCUUUGAACGCACAUUGCGCCCCUUGGCAUUCCGGGGGGCACGUCCGUUCGAGCGUCAUUUCACCACUCAAGCCUCGCUUGGUGUUGGGCGACGGGGGGACCCGCGCCUGGAUUUCGCCGGCUGGACGGACCCGAUCGCAGCGUUGUGGCAUCAAAUUCGCUGUCGGAGAGGGGUGUCUGCGCCGUUAAAUCAUCAAAGGUUGACCUCGGAUCGGACGGGGAUACCCGCUGA